rnacentral:rRNA from 1 species
GAUGAACGCUGGCUACAGGCUUAACACAUGCAAGUCGUGGGGAAACGGCAUUAUGUGCUUGCACAUUCUGGACGUCGACCGGCGCACGGGUGAGUAUCGCGUAUCCAACCUGCCCCUUACUAGGGGAUACCCCGUUGAAAGACGGCCUAAUACCCGAUGUGUUUCAUUGACGGCAUCCGAUAUGAAACAAAGGUUUUCCGGUAAGGGAUGGGGAUGCGUCUGAUUAGCUUGUUGGCGGGGCAACGGCCCACCAAGGCGACGAUCAGUAGGGGUUCUGAGAGGAAGGUCCCCCACAUUGGAACUGAGACACGGUCCAAACUCCUACGGGAGGCAGCAGUGAGGAAUAUUGGUCAAUGGACGCAAGUCUGAACCAGCCAAGUAGCGUGCAGGAUGACGGCCCUAUGGGUUGUAAACUGCUUUUAUGUGGGAAUAAAGUGGCGCACGUGUGCGCCAUUGCAUGUACCUCAUGAAUAAGGACCGGCUAAUUCCGUGCCAGCAACUGCGGUAAUACGGAAGGUCCGGGCGUUAUCCGGAUUUAUUGGGUUUAAAGGGAGUGUAGGCGGUCUGUUAAGCGUGUUGUGAAAUUUAGGUGCUCAACAUUUAACUUGCAGCGCGAACUGUCAGACUUGAGUACACGCAGCGCAGGCGGAAUUCAUGGUGUAGCGGUGAAAUGCUUAGAUAUCAUGAGGAACUCCGAUCGCGAAGGCAGCCUGCGGGAGUGUUACUGACGCUUAGGCUCGAAGGUGCGGGUAUCGAACAGG